rnacentral:rRNA from 1 species
AUUGAACGCUGGCGGAAUGCUUUACACAUGCAAGUCGGGCGGCAGCGCGGGGGCAACCCUGGCGGCGAGCGGCGAACGGGUGAGUAACACAUCGGAACGUACCCUGUCGUGGGGGAUAACGAAUCGAAAGAUUCGCUAAUACCGCAUACGACCUGAGGGUGAAAGCGGGGGAUCGCAAGACCUCGCGCGAGAGGAGCGGCCGAUGGCGGAUUAGCUAGUUGGUGGGGUAAAGGCCCACCAAGGCGACGAUCCGUAGCGGGUCUGAGAGGACGGCCCGCCACACUGGGACUGAGACACGGCCCAGACUCCUACGGGAGGCAGCAGUGGGGGAAUUUUGGACAAUGGGGGCAACCCUGAUCCAGCCAUUCCGCGUGAGUGAAGAAGGCCUCGGUU